rnacentral:rRNA from 1 species
GAUGAACGCUGGCGGCGUGCCUAAUACAUGCAAGUCGUGCGGCAGCGAGCCCUUCGGGGUGUCGGCGAGCGGCGGACGGCUGAGUAACACGUAGGAACAUACCCCAAAGUGAGGGAUAACUGCUCGAAAGAGGAGCUAAUACCGCAUGUGGUCUAAGGAUUAAAGCUUCGGCGCUUUGGGAAUGGCCUGCGUUCGAUUAGCUAGAUGGGGAGGUAAAAGCUCACCAUGGCGACGAUCGAUAGCUGGUCUGAGAGGAUGAUCAGCCAGACUGGGACUGAGACACGGCCCAGACUCCUACGGGAGGCAGCAGUAGGGAAUUUUCCACAAUGGGCGAAAGCCUGAUGGAGCAACGCCGCGUGCAGGAUGAAGGCCUUCGGGUUGUAAACUGCUUUUAUAUGUGACGAUUAUGACGGUAGCAUAUGAAUAAGGAUCGGCUAACUCCGUGCCAGCAGCCGCCGUAA